GAGUCAGCAUGGUCCACAGGUGGUGGUGGCACAAGAGGUGGGAGUGAGUCAAUGAUUCAGGCCCCUGGGCAGAGCAUAGAGCAUCAACAGUGAGCACAGCUCUGCAGAACCAAGGCCGACCAGAUCUGGCUUUGACCGGAUCACUGUCAUGCACCGGGGUGCAGCAGCCAGCACUGGCUUGCCCGAGCUGUCUUUUCUUUCUCUUACUUUGAUAAGGUGAGCUGGCAAGUCAAGUCCCUGAGCCUGGGAUGUUAGGGGGGUUUGGGUGGAGGGGAGAGCAAGGUCCAGGAGCCACCUUCGGCAAGGUGCUCUACACUAUGCCCCAAUCACAGCCAGUGACAGGAGCACGGCAGACAGAAGGCAAAGGAGCUCGAAGAAGGAAAAGGAAGUCCAAAGGGCAACGUGCAGUCCUCCUUAGCAACUCCCAGAUAAUCACCUAGCAGGACACUGGAGGAGCUCCAAGGUGGGGUGGGGCUGUCAACCGAGGAAACAGGAGGACUAAGAUGACAUUUCUCCUCUCACAGGGGCUGGCUUAUUGUCCCCUUGUCCUUUCUGAAUCAUCUGAAGAGAUGAAUUUCCUUUCGGGGAGAGUCUGUUCUGAGAACUGAGUCUGGCUGUCAGGGAGCGCUGUGGACCGGCCCCCUGAUGAAGGAGACAGUCAUAGGUUCUUUACCAGGCGUAGAGUGGGGCCCAGCCAUGGUCACACUGUGUUCAGGAGCGUGAGUGUGACCAAGCCAUGAUGGGCUCAGACAUUAGUCCUGUGGGCUGUGAGCAUGAGGUUAAGACAGUUUCGUGGGAACCCAGAUCAGGCCCAACACCGGGGAUGAACAAGCCCACCACAAGUGUGAGGAAAACAAGAACAUGGCUUCUCCUGCUCCCACUGGGAGCCCAAAUUAGAACUCUGCCCUUUGUCCCUGAGGAGUCCAGGCAACUGUAUGUGGGCGUCGUGACCACAGGCCUUUGUUCCUCUCACCCACACAGGCCCCUCUGUCACUGUGCUCUGGCCUGCAGCCCACAUCCUGGCAGACCAGGGCAGCUGGUGAGGUUGACCGUCAGCCUUGUCAAAGGACCAUGUCAAGAGCACACAGUGCCAUGCUGGCCGGGGGACCUGCAUUCACCACCAAGCCCAGCUGGGAUGCAGGUUUUUAAGUGUCGCUAACCAAGGCUUCGACCAGACAUCAUGACCAGAAGCAGAUCAGGGGAGAAAUGUUUACUGGGAUUACAAUUCAGUCUGAGCAACUGAGACUGUCCCGAGGAGACCUGGGACAGGUCAGGAGAGUGUUCUGAGAACCCCUGAGAGCUGUCUUCGAAGCGGCCGAGCUGGGCAGGUGAGGCCUGCAGGCAAGAGGAAGCCGGGUAGAUUUGAGAUAAUGAAAUCUGGACUCCACUGGGAGAUCCCAGGCAGGCCCUGCCACCUGAUCCUACCACACUGCCCCUCUGUCCAAGACCCUAAAGCGAAGGGCACCAGCCAUGGACUGGAGCCUCUAUAAAUACAGGAGGGGAUUAGACAGUUUGAGUGACCACGCCAGCAAACAAUCACAGUACACCGUUCUAACGGCACAGAUAAAACAAUUCACAUCACUGAUACAGGUUCCCCUCUCUCAGGUGACUGGAGCUCGCGUUAAGUCAAUGUACAACUGGCCAACGUAGUCUGAAAUCAUUUUGAAAAACAGAACAAAAUUCGCCCACAGCCCACUUCACUUCUCGCCAUAGUUACAGAUCGCCGCUUACUGAGUUGGUCUCCUGAAUCCCAGAAGCCGCCACGGAUACCUCACUUUCUCCUUUGGCGGCCCCACUAGCGAGUCUUGUGAGCUUCAUUUUCUCUGUUUUCUGUCGCUGCAACGGCACGCCAGAGUCUGGUUAUUCUACAGCUCUGAAGGCUGGGAAGCUCAUGGCUGGCUCGCCCCAUCUUCUGAGGUUCUCAUUGCUGGUAAGGCCCUCACUAGAGCAGUGGACCUCAACCUAAUACAGUACCUCAUGCUGUGGUGACCCCCAACCAUAAAAUCAUUUCUGUUGCUACUUUAUAACUGUGACUUUGCUACUGUUUUGAAUUGUAAUGUAACAACGUGUGCUUUCCAAUGGCCUUAGGUGACCCCAAAGGGGUCACAGCCCACAGGUUGAGAAACACUGCUCUUUAGCAUUCUAGAUGGCAUAGGGGAUCACAUGGCAAAACGGGGCAUCCUACAGUGCACCAAACUGGCUUUCAAACGGACCUGUUGUGAGGGGAACUCAUUGUUAUGAUCUAGAUGCUCUGCCUUGUCACAGGCUGGAAGGCAACGGUGUCUCAGAGACCAUGAACCCAGAGAGAUGGAAGGAAGCUGACGGACACUUGAGCCCAUGGAUGGGCUAAUCUAUUCAUGAGGACCAAGCUAUCAUGACCCAGCUCUGCGUGCUCCCUCAGAACACUUUAUGGAGGAGUUUUAGUGGGGACAUUGGGUCCACAGCAGCCAUGUUCUCCUGGAAUGCAUUACCAACCAGGCUGCUUCCCACCACUCCUCCGUGGUACACACAUCGAGCCGUCAUUUCUAGACGUAGAACUCUGGAGACUAACCUCUGACUGUGAGCAACAAGAGGAUUACGAGGCAGACUGAGAGCUAGGAGUCCACGUCAGUGUGCUGUGCUGUUUGGGAUGCUUUUCCUGUCGCUAGGCCUGGGUAUCAGUCAAG